GUCAGUGAAAUGAGAGAUAAACCUUCAUGCAAAGUUUCUCAAUGUUGAGAAUGUACUUGGCUUACACGAGGCUCUUCGGAGAUAAAUAGUAGCUUUGAUGAAUGUAGAAGGAAUCAAUAGGGAACUUGUUGCAAGCCAUCUCCACAUUACAUUUUCUUUAAUAUUGUUAUUUACAAAUCUGUUGUUGCUAAAGCAGCUGUAUGUUUGGAUGGACCAUUUUCUGCUUAUCAUUUCAACUGUGGAUUCGGAUCGGGAGC